rnacentral:pre_miRNA from 1 species
UUAACUCGAGUUUGUGUGGAUUGGAACGUUAGCCUACGUUUGCCGCUAGGGGCGCUGUUCCAACUGCAUACAAAUUUGAGUUA